CAGUGGAUUGUGAAUUCCACCAUGCGCG
rnacentral:tRNA from 1 species